rnacentral:rRNA from 1 species
ACAUGCAAGUCGAACGCACUAGCAAUAGUGAGUGGCGCACGGGUGCGUAACACGUGGGUAAUCAACCCUUCAGCUUGGGAUAACGACUUGAAAGGGUCGCUAAUACCGGAUACGGCGCGGGAGGCUUCGGCUUCUCACGAGAAAGCCUCGCAAGGGGCACUGAAGGACGAGCCUGCGGCCCAUCAGCUAGUUGGUGAGGUAAGAGCUCACCAAGGCGAAGACGGGUAGCUGGUCUGAGAGGAUGAUCAGCCACACUGGAACUGAGACACGGUCCAGACUCCUACGGGAGGCAGCAGUGGGGAAUAUUGCGCAAUGGGCGCAAGCCUGACGCAGCCACGCCGCGUGAGCGAUGAAGGCCUUCGGGUCGUAAAGCUCUGUGGGGAGAGACGAAGAAAGACGGUGAAGAGCGGGCCUUGACGGUAUCUCCUUAGCAAGCAUCAACGAACUCCGUGCCAGCAGCCGCGGUAAUA